AUUGAACGCUGGCGGCAGGCCUAACACAUGCAAGUCGAGCGGCAGCGGAAAGUAGCUUGCUACUUUGCCGGCGAGCGGCGGACGGGUGAGUAAUGUCUGGGAAACUGCCUGAUGGAGGGGGAUAACUACUGGAAACGGUAGCUAAUACCGCAUAACGUCGCAAGACCAAAGAGGGGGACCUUCGGGCCUCUUGCCAUCAGAUGUGCCCAGAUGGGAUUAGCUAGUAGGUGGGGUAACGGCUCACCUAGGCGACGAUCCCUAGCUGGUCUGAGAGGAUGACCAGCCACACUGGAACUGAGACACGGUCCAGACUCCUACGGGAGGCAGCAGUGGGGAAUAUUGCACAAUGGGCGCAAGCCUGAUGCAGCCAUGCCGCGUGUAUGAAGAAGGCCUUCGGGUUGUAAAGUACUUUCAACGGGGAGGAAGGUGUUGAGGUUAAUAACCUCAGCAAUUGACGUUACCCGCAGAAGAAGCACCGGCUAACUCCGUGCCAGCCGCCGCAGUAAGAC
rnacentral:rRNA from 1 species